CACACACACACACACACACACACUUAGGGGGAAGUUUUCCUGAGCCCCCAGGCAGAAUGACAAGCGCACUCUGGAGUUUCCCAGUGUUGCAGGGUAGCCUUUACUCUGUCCUUCCUGGCCCAGGGCUUUGGCCAGCUGCUCCUGGUCUCUGAGUUCCUGAUUCCUGCUGGUCCCUGUCUUUGGGUGCCCCCAGGCCACAGGUGGAAGAAAGAAACAAGGACUCAAGGCUAUCUUCUCCCACUUCUGGGCCACAGCCACAGAGGCCAUGGAGUUGGUGGCCAGAGACUCUGGCCCCCUCCUAUCUGCAGUCACCUGGACACAGGCGAUCAUCUUGCCAUUCUAGGCUGCCACUCUCCCCCUCAUCCUGUAGGACCAAUACUCAUCCUGCUGCAGGAUACUGCUCUACGUUCCAGCAGUGUGGUGAUCAUCACCUCACGGGGCAUCAUCAGGAGCAUACACCCUCUUCAGCCUGAUGCCCAGGCCACUGUGGACAUCACAGCACAGGCAGCCCUGGGGACCACAACUCAAGUGAUGUCAUUAAAAGGCCCUCCCACCUCUCAGAGAGUGGAUACCACAGGCCAAUGUUGGCUCUACAUGGAAAUCCCUCACACCCUUCUCUCUCCUCACCUCUUACACACCCCUUUUCCUAGCUCAGGAGCCUGUUGCCUAGGUGAUGCUUGGUUGGUUUCUGUGAUGAUGACAUCCUGUUACCCCAGGAAGCAUGGUUGAUAGCAUGCUGUCUGAGUGAUGACCUACUGAAGCUCUGCCCCUCACCAAGUCAGUUCAUGUGACUCCUUGAGCAUCUGUGUUCUCUGAGACCACAAACCCCAGAUAAUGGGUAAAAGAAAACCCACCUGGUCUUGGGGCACCCCUUCAUCAGUUCUUCCUCCAGCACCCCAAUGGCUGCCAGCCAACUCAUAGCUCAUCUCCUUCUCACAUCCGUCCCUUCUCCUCUUCUCUCUCCUCCCUCCCUCCUAAACUCUUCUCAGCUCUGGGAAUAAAUCUGUUCAGCUGAUCUUGG
rnacentral:lncRNA from 1 species